AUUGAACGCUGGCGGCAGGCUUAACACAUGCAAGUCGAGCGGGGAUGAGGUGCUUGCACCUUAUCUUAGCGGCGGACGGGUGAGUAAUGCUUAGGAAUCUGCCAUUUAGUGGGGGACAACAUUCCGAAAGGAAUGCUAAUACCGCAUACGUCCUACGGGAGAAAGCAGGGGAUCUUAGGACCUUGCGCUAAAUGAUGAGCCUAGGUCGGAUUAGCUAGUUGGGGGGGUAAAGGCCUACCAAGGGGAAGAUCUGUAGCGGGUCAGAGAGGAUGGUGCGCAACACUGGGACUGAGAGCGGUGCCAGACGCCUACGGGGGGCAGCGGGGGGGAAUAUGGGACAAUUGGCGGAAGCCUGAUCCAGCCAUGCCGCGUGUGUGAAGAAGGCCGUUUGGUUGUAAAGCACUUUAAGCGAGGAGGAGGCUACCUAGAUUAAUACUCUAGGAUAGUGGACGUUACUCGCAGAAUAAGCACCGGCUAACUCUGUGCCAGCCGCCGCCGUAACAC
rnacentral:rRNA from 1 species